ACAAGCGGUGGAGCAUGUGGUUUAAUUCGACGCAACGCGAGAACCUUACCAGGGCUUGACAUCCCCUGACCGCGUAUGAAAGUACGUUUUCACCCUCGGGUGACAGGGAGACAGGUGGUGCAUGGUUGUCGUCAGCUCGUGUCGUGAGAUGUUGGGUUAAGUCCCGCAACGAGCGCAACCCCUACGUUUAGUUGCUAACGCGUGAAGGCGAGCACUCUAGACGAACUGCCGUUGACAAAACGGAGGAAGGUGGGGAUGACGUCAAAUCAUCAUGCCCCUUAUGUUCUGGGCUACACACGUGCUACAAUGGCCGGUACAGACGGACGCAAAGCCGCGAGGCGGAGCAAAUCCGAAAAAGCCGGUCUCAGUUCGGAUUGCAGGCUGCAAUUCGCCUGCAUGAAGUCGGAAUCGCUAGUAAUCGCAGGUCAGCAUACUGCGGUGAAUACGUUCCCGGGCCUU
rnacentral:rRNA from 1 species